GACUAACCUGUCUUUAGGCGAGGGGCAACCUGGGGAAACCCGGGCUAAUACCACAUAAUGCCUGUUUUUCGUAUGGAAGAUAGAUCAAAGGGGGCCUCUGCUUGCAAGCUCCCGCCUAGAGAGGGGGUCGCGGCGUAUCAGCUUGUUGGUGAGGUAAUGGCUCACCAAGGCUACGACGCGUAGCGGGUCUGAGAGGACGAUCCGUCACAUUGGGACUGAGAUACGGCCCAG
rnacentral:rRNA from 1 species